rnacentral:misc_RNA from 1 species
GAUGAAGAACGCAGCGAAAUGCGAUACGUAAUGUGAAUUGCAGAAUUCAGUGAAUCAUCGAGUCUUUGAACGCACAUUGCGCCCCCUGGUGUUCCGGGGGGCAUGCCUGUCCGAGCGUCAUUGCUGCCCUCAAGCACGGCUUGUGUGUUGGGCCUCCGUCCUCCUCCCGGGGGACGGGCCCGAAAGGCAGCGGCGGCACCGCGUCCGGUCCUCGAGCGUAUGGGGCUUCGUCACCCGCUCUUGUAGGCCCGGCCGGCGCUUGCCGACACAUCAAUCUUUUUUCCAGGUUGACCUCGGAUCAGGUAGGGAUACCCGCUGAACUUAAGCAUAUCAAUAAGCGGAGGA